GCACUGGUAGUUCAGCAGUAGAAUUCUUACCUUCCAUGUGGGAGACCCAGGUUCAAUUCUCAGUUAAUGCA
rnacentral:tRNA from 1 species